rnacentral:rRNA from 1 species
CAGGUUGACCCAAACGUGGUAAGGAAGGUGGGUGUCCUUCCGCUUUUCAUCUUCUCCCUUUUGUCGUUAGAUUUUUUUUUCCAUCAUCUUCUCCCUUUUUCCUCUUCACCCCUGCCUUCCUCGAGGUUCCACCUUAGGUAAGGUAGGGCUCUGGGCUUUAGGUAGGUAGUGCGGGAACCGGAACCGUCGGCGUCGUCUGCUGAGCGGAUGAGACGCGGACGGACUCGGCCCCUGCCCCUUCUUCCUCUCCUCCCUUGGCGGCUGCCUCACCCUUGUUCUUGGUGCCGUCCAUAGCUGACGGCCUAGUGACAUCGUUCUACUCGCUGUUAGAGUACCUGUUUCAAUUGCGGGACCCGCUCGCGGAGUUCUAGUCGCCGCGCCUUCAGUCGGCGUUCUACAGGUGGCCGCAGUGAUCGUACUCAAAGUUCUACUUCCUCAAAAAGGUUCCGGUCUUGUACCGGCUGUUCUAACAACUGCUCCGGUGGAACCUCUGGUACCUGCCGGGGCUAACCCGAUGGUUAGAACUCUAUACGCUAUACCGGUUGUGGCUCUCCCAGUUGUCGCAGCUCGAGUAGGCGCGGUAGUUCUCCGCUUAGUACGAGUUCUCGGGCUCCCACGUCAUAGACCGAGAACAGGAGGAGCUCUGGUAACAGUUCUUGACGCUCUUCCGAAAGAGGCUCUAACGACGCCUCGCCCAGGAACUACUUUACCACUUCGAAUAACUACUGGGUGUCUGAUAUCAGUUGUUGUCUUUGUUCCGCGAGUACGAAUAACUUCGUACCCCUCUCAGUCCUCUUCUCGAGGCGAUGGAAGGACACAUACUUCUUUGAAUGUUCUCGAAUUCCAGAUCCCCUUAAGCGAAGGGACCGGCGCUACUACUCUCGGAACGCGGUUAUAAAUGAGGAGGGGCAAGUCAUGGACGUCGACUUGGUAUAAGACUACGUCGUGUCCUGCCCAUAGUUCUUUAAGGUCUACUUUCAAAACGAGGUCAAGCACGACGGGGAAGACAUGUUCAGCUGCUCCGAAAACUCCACCGAGCAUUAUCGCAACUUGAAGAAAGGUGUCACGAUAGUAGUAGAGGUGUUUUUCUCCGAGAUCUCCUACUGAACUGAUGGUGGGACCAGGUCGUUACGGUUGUCACAGUUAUGUGCUAGGUCUCUUAGCAACUUUGACGUCCACUAUUACUCCGAGUUGAGAAGCUCCGUGACUCAUAGGUGCUACUUGAGGUCUUUCAAGACAGGUUCAUGCUUCUGGAGUUCCUCGGGUAGCAGCGUCUCGGACUCGGUCUUGGUCGCUACUAAGGUCAGUGCCACCUCGGACUCCUUAGGGGUGCGCGACAACCGUUUCUGUGGGGGAGCUCCUUUAGUCGACCCAGGCCACCAGCGAGAUCGCCGCCCCUACUGAACGAAGUCCUAGAGCUGCUGUACUAGAAACCAUUCUUUCGGCCGUGGCGGAGGGUCGUCCUUUCCUGAGGGGCCUUCCUCGUCUUCCUGCUAAAGUAGCCGAAUACUAGUUGCCCAAACACGAACGCGCAGAUAGAAGAGGACAUAGGGCCCCUAACGACGUGUCACCAUCUACAAAUUGCAGCGUAACUCAAAGUACACCCUGAGGAAAAGAAAGACACUAACAAUACGCUCGGUUUAAUAACUUUACGACCCCGACGAGAGUACGUACCGUACCCAUUCAUAUAUUCAAACAUGUAGCGUACCCAUUCAUAUAUUCAUAUAUUCUGCCCCAGACGAGCAAGUAGUGCUAAAAACUUUAGAUAUACAAAACAGUGGGUUCAAUAAAACUUCUGACUUUCUUAAGUCGCUGCUUGCUUUCCGUAUUUACACGAAUAGAAGAAGUAAUUACAAGUUUUAGCUGUCCAAUAUUGUACUGCGUCAACGAGCGAAUGUCCGGUCCUUAUCGACUCGGGAGGAACCGU